rnacentral:ncRNA from 1 species
ACUCCGAGGUCGAGGCUAACAAUGGCCCUCCGGCGCGCGAGCGCCGGCUGAAAAUCGGGUGAAUUGCCAGAAACUCCGGGGACGGACAACCGGCAGCCAAGGUCGAGACGGCGGUGCAGCGAUGCCCAAGGGCUCGGCAAGGUUCAGAGACUAGGGCCCGAGCGAAAGCGGUGAUGGCCCCACGAGCGCCCGACAUCUCCCGCGGGAGAUGAUGAGAUAGUCCGUACUGCCGCGAUAAU